rnacentral:rRNA from 1 species
UACGGAGGGUGCAAGCGUUAUCCGGAUUCACUGGGUUUAAAGGGUGCGUAGGUGGGUUGGUAAGUCAGUGGUGAAAUCCCCGAGCUUAACUUGGGAACUGCCAUUGAUACUAUCAGUCUUGAAUACCGUGGAGGUCAGCGGAAUAUGUCAUGUAGCGGCGAAAUGCUUAGAUAUGACAUAGAACACCAAUUGCGAAGGCAGCUGGCUACACGGAUAUUGACACUGAGGCACGAAAGCGUGGGGAUCAAACAGG